UUUAUAUAUUUUUAUAUACAUUUUAAAUUUAUAAAAUUGAUAAUUUGUCAUAUUAAUAUCCACCAAAACUACACGAACCUGUGGUAUGAGAGACCAACUUCCACCUUUUUUUUUUUUUUUUUUCCUCUCUUUGUAAAGGGUUUCCCCCUCUUAACACACAAAGGUCAAAAUCUUCUAAAGAGUGAUCAGAUUAUGUAGGAUUGCUACACACUAAAGCCCCUCGGUAGCAGUGGCGUGCACUUCAUACAUGCACAAAAGCACUGCCUACCCCUAAAAUAUAUAUAUAACUCGUAUAGGAGGAGGAUUUUGCCGUUUUACGCAAUUUAUAAUUUUUCGCUGUAUUCACCCUGGUAAGUAACUCAGUGCACGCCACUGCUCGGUAGCGACCCUCAACACAUACUGGUAGGCUUCGGGAUAUCUCUAACUUGCACCUAAUAGCUACAAGUAAACGCCACGAAGAUUUCCCAAAAUACGUUUUGGCUGGCUGCUUUAUUUGCCACACAGAUUUUUCUGGAUUUAGUGAUAUACAAAUUAAGCUCAGUGUUCGUUGUUUAAUUUAGAGUUUCUUAUCUUAUUAAUUAAAUAUAUAAAACGGCUCAAGCCACGUUGAUUUUCGUCGGAAUACGCUGCUAUAUUUUCGCUAGCUAUUUGGCACCACUCGGUACAAAGCAAAUAUUUUAUACCGUUCUAUAUAAUUUAUUCAUAUGAAUUUCAUUCACAACAGUUACUUUUUUUUAUAUUUGUAUAUAUUAUCUUGCAUUUAUUACUUGCUAUGCAUAUUGAACUGCGCUCUUAGCUCUCCAGUGCAUGUUUGAAGAUAGAUGGGGGCUGAUUUACGAGUUGGGUACAUCUGUAACACGCCACGUCACGCGUGUUGAGUUAGAUCAACGUAAGUAAAAUCCCCAGGCUGAUAAGAAUAUGUAUGUUCUUUUUUAAUAUGACUUUUUGACAACUGCCUUUGGAGUCAGUGGGAGACUAACUCCAAAGGCAGCUGUCAAAAAGUCAAAAAAUUAUUUUUCUCGUAAUUAAUAGUUGAUCUCUGAAGAAUUAUGGUAUUUUAAACGGUUCACUUACGUAAUAUUUGAUCAAUCUAUUGAAUUACUUAGUUGAUUUAAUGUACACUCGGUGUUAUAACUAAAGUUAUAUAUUUUUCAUAGUUAUUUUGUUUCUUAUCUUACCCACCGUAUCUAAAGAUAAAUAAUAGGAAAGAAAUUUGGCUAAUCUCAAGUAACUUUUUUAUUUUUAUUAUUGUUUUAAUAUUAAUCUUUUCAUGUGCCCCGUCACUUCACUCGCGUACAACUUUCGAUAAGAAAAUUAUAUAUAAAUAUACCCCAACCCACCGCUUCGCAUCGUCCCCCAGCGCCUACGCUAUUUAGUAUUUCGUUUGCUCAGUUAGAUAUAUUAUAGAAAACUACAGUAGUUUAUGGAAAUUUAAAAACGUUUAUUAUUUAAUUUUUAACAUAAUAUAUACACAGUAUGACAUUUGCACGAUCGCAAUCGUAUAUUCGUUUUUGAGUAACGAAAUACAAUGAGGACAAAAGAGAAUAAACCUAAUGGUAGUAGAUUUAAAGUAGUUUAUACUGAUUUAAAUUUUACAAUAGUUCCGUAGGCUGAAGUGUAGGAGUGUUUGAGCUUAAAAUUCGCGUUUUGAUACUUAAAAACGGACAAUCGUGCAAAUAUUAUUCUAGGUACAGUAUAAGAAACCUAGCUCACAAAAGUGCCCUAUUAGUGGUUAAACUAAUUCAUAUAACUAUAAUAUAAUCAGCCCUCAUUUACAAAUGACCAGUGGUUUCGUCAAUUUGGUUAUAUUUUUUGUUUGCUUGUUGAUUGUUACUUGUUACAGAUACUAACCAUUUCUUUCUUUGUCUAUUAGUAAUUCUAUUUAUACACUUAUAAAUACUAUAAUAUGUAAAAUAUUUGAAACGUAGCUUUGUAAAUAUUGGUCAAGUUUUGCCAAAUAUAUAAAAAUAUUUCACAAUUAUUGUGAACAUAGAAAUUUAUGAAUUGUAAUCUAUGAAAAUGUAAAUCACUAUCCGAAUUGUACAGUCUAUGGAAUUCGUUCUGGUUUUUUUAAAAAUUUAUUUAGAGCAGUACAAAAUAGUCUUUUAACUAACUUUAAUCGGGUCCUUUGCCCACGAAUUUGCGCUGGAGCGGCGUGGUGAGUCGAAGCUAUAAAGCUAAAGCCUUAUUUUACGAUGUCUUAGUCUCUCCUCUCUCCUUUGAGCUAUCCUUUCACUGCUGUAUAACUUAAGGCUACCUUUCAAUGCGCCAAAUAAGGGCGAGGAUGCUACAAAUCGUCGCCAUUGGUGCAAAGGGAGGCCUCAAUAUCCUAAAGUUAGGAAUAGAGCUUCUUUAGGCAACCUUUAAAUACGGUAUAUAAAAAGGAAAUAAAGUAGUUCGCCCCUUUGAUCUCGUGGUAAAUGGCGACAACGUUAAGAUCUUCACCUCGCAUUUACUGCUUUGUUUAGGCGGCUCCUUUGGACCACUGCUUAAAGACUCGAGCUCAAGGCUUGCAAAGGCCGCACGCCCGCUCCUACGCACACGAAGGCAGGUCGCGCCGCAAAGCAAUGCUUCAAACAGUUUUUAAGCUGCCCACUGACCUCUAUUAUUAACUCACUGGACCAGCCAAGCAGUGUCAAUAACAUCGUUUUAUAAAUGACAUUUUAGGUUUCAUAUUAACCCAUUUUACGCCAUAUCUAUGACAAACUAAUAUUAAAACUGAUUUUGGUAAUUAUGAUUUACCAAAAUCCGUUUUAAUACCGUUACUACCGUGUUAUAACCGUACUUUGCACAGUCAUAUAACAGCGUCCUACGUGCAACGCUAAAAUGGCGGCAAUCAAAAAGUUAAAAAAAGAACAAAGUGACAGGCUGCUUUCACUGAUAGUAACAAUAGACGUCAGUGACCUGCUAAAAUUAAAUUGACCUAAUGAUAGAACGAUUUUUACCAUACUUUGUCGCGGCCUUCCUUUGUACGAUAGCCAUAACAGGCUGAUUACCUAUUAGUUGCUCAAAUGUGAGCUUAGAUAUACAAGACCCAAGGGUCUGCUCAUAAAAUGAUUUUUCACAAAAUAUGUAAGGCUAAAAAUAUAUGAAAUUAUUAUGUACACCUACUUUAUGUCAAAAGCUUAUUGAAUUGUUGUUUAUAAAUGGAUGUUGUAUAAAUGGAGUCAGAUUUAUGUAUUGUUCCAUUAGUGAUUUUCUACUCAUUGUCUUUAAUAAAUGUUCUAAGAACAA